rnacentral:rRNA from 1 species
AAUGAACGCUGGCGGCGUGCCUAACACAUGCAAGUCGAGCGCGAAAAGGGGCAACCCUGAGUAGAGCGGCGAACGGGUGAGUAACACGUGGGUAACCUGCCUAGGAGCGGGGGAUAACCUGGGGAAACUCGGGCUAAUACCGCAUACGAUCAUGGGGUCUCGGCUCUGUGAUGAAAGAUGGCCUCUGCUUGCAAGCCAUCACUCCUGGAGGGGCCCGCGCCCGAUUAGCUAGUUGGUGGGGUAACGGCCUACCAAGGCGACGAUCAGUAG